rnacentral:rRNA from 1 species
GACGAACGCUGGCGGCGUGCUUAACACAUGCAAGUCGAACGAUGAAGAAGAGAAACGCGAACUUCGGUUCAAAUUUCACUUCGGAUUAGUGGCAGACGGGUGAGUAACGCGUGAGCAACCUACCUCUUACAAAGGGAUAGCCUCGGGAAACCGUGAUUAAUACCAUAUGACACAUUCAUAAGGCAUCUUAAGAAUGUUAAAGCUACGGCGGUAAGAGAUGGGCUCGCGUCCCAUUAGCUAGUUGGUGAGGUAACGGCCCACCAAGGCGACGAUGGGUAACCGGCCUGAGAGGGUGAACGGUCACAUUGGAACUGAGACACGGUCCAAACUCCUACGGGAGGCAGCAGUGGGGAAUAUUGCACAAUGGAGGGAACUCUGAUGCAGCGACGCCGCGUGAGCGAUGAAGGAAUUCGUUUAGUAAAGCUCUGUUCUAUGGGAAGAAAAGGACUGUACCAUAGGAGAAAGCCCCGGCUAAAUACGUG